UACGAAGGGGGCUAGCGUUGCUCGGAAUCUCUGGGCGUAAAGCGCACGUAGGCGGAUUGCUAAGUCAGGGGUGAAAUCCUGGAGCUCAACUCCAGAACUGCCUUUGAUACUGGCGACCUUGAGUCCGGGAGAGGUGAGUGGAACUGCGAGUGUAGAGGUGAAAUUCGUAGAUAUUCGCAAGAACACCAGUGGCGAAGGCGGCUCACUGGCCCGGUACUGACGCUGAGGUGCGAAAGCGUGGGGAGCGAACAGG
rnacentral:rRNA from 1 species